GAUCUCUGCAACCUGCAGGGUGAAAGAUCACCUCCAUAAUCUAUUUUCAUUCCCAGACUACCAUCUUCUUGCCACGGUCUUUUUCUAUCAAUCCCGAACGAAUCACCACUGAAUCCCAGAAUUACCAUUGCCCCCAACUGACACCUUUAGGUCCUUUGGUCUGUGUCCCUACUCUUAGCCCUAAUGGAACCCUCAUAACUGCAAUUAACUAUACGGGUUCAACCCUACUACAAUUCAUCUUGCAAGCCCUGGUUCCAUCAUUCAAAGUCACAUCUUUUGCUUUGAUACUAGCUCCCCUGCUUGUCCUACUUUAUUUUAUUGGAAGAGGACAGCAUUUAAGGGGC